GAACUACCCUACUUCACCAAUUCUUUCAUGCAUACCAGAAAAGACUCUCGUCCAAGUUUUCCCCUUCUCCUUCCUGACUAACUCUGGUGCCUCCCUGCGCAGCCCCUGGAGCGUGGCAUGUCCCCUCCUCUAGGAAUAUAUGAAGAGCUAUAAAAAUGGAUUUAUAAAUGGGAAUGGCAUGACUGACAAGCCAAAGGCAUAUGUGGAGAGGAUGUAGGAGUAACACAGAAAUGAUAUCCAUCCCCACAAAUAGCCAGGAGGACAGGCAGCUGGAGAAACCGGUGGAUUCUUUACCAGCUGAGCCACCAAGAAAGCCCAAGAAUACUAGAAUGGGUAACUUAUCCCUUCUCCAGGGGAUCUUCCGGACCCAAGAAUCAAACCAGGGUCUCCUGCGUUGCAAGUGGAUUCUUUACCAACUGAGCUAUGAGGAAAGCCCCUGGGCUUUUAGGAGUAGCAAACUAUGGGAAGCAGGCCCAAGGUGUCCAUCUGCUGUGGAGAAGAUUAGGAUUUGCUGCUGAAGUAACAAAGAAGGAUAAGGGUGAUUUUCACUUAUAACAUGCAGAAUAGGAUUAGGCAAAAACAAUAGCUUUACUAGCCAGGCAUUUGUAUUGAGAGGAUUUUCCAAAAGUCUCUAAUAGCCUUCAUGAAAGGCCAUUGAGGGAGGGACACUUCUAUUGCGAUGAGAAGCUGUCCCUUUCCCCUUAAGACAAGAAAGCUGGUGAACCUUAUUGCUCAAUACGGGGAGGAUGUAACAAAAGAGAAAUCAAAGAACAAAAACAAACAGGAAGAGCCUGGAGAAGACUGGGGAGUGGAGAACAAGGAGAGCGAGUCAGGACGGGCUUUGAACCCGACAAAGGGGGUUACUCUCAAUAAAGGCGGGCGUGAGGAGAGCACCAAGGGCAAGAACGGUCUGUCGCUCCCUCCCGUCUUCUGUUAGGGUCCUGGAAGAGACCACCCAACCUCGAACUUGGCUCCUGCAAACGGGUCCUGCAGUGUCGUUGGGCAGAGAAGGCUCUGAGCCACUCUUGUUCCCAAUGGACAGGAAUUCUGAAUUGAGAACCGAGAAUCCUGACAGUCAGGAUACCAUACGCGGAGGAAGACCAAGAAUCGCGGGCAACCGUCAGGACCUGGGAGAGAGACGUGGAAACGAUUCUCUCAGAACCUCCAGUUUGAACCAACACUGCAGACACUUUGAUCUGGGGCUUCUAGCCUCCAGAACUAUACAAGGAUAAAUUUCUGUUGUGCUAAAUCACUCAGUUUGUGGUGGUUUUUUUGUUUGUUUGUUUUUUUACAGCAGCCUUAGCAGACCAGCACAAGUACCAUGUGAGGGGUGGCUUCAACAGGGCAUUAGCAUAGGACUGGGAAACACAGUGAAAGGGGAAUCUUUUCCAUGAAAAGCCGGACGCUCUGUCUCAUGGGCGUGGUAUAGAAGUGACUGACUGCAGGCAACAGCUACACAGAGUGGCCAGCUCAGCCAGAAAGAUGCGGGAAACCUAAAAAAGAGACCUCUCCAUACACAGAAGCUCUACUGUCAUUCCCAGAAGAAACCAGGCCUGUGGUGGGCCAAGAUGGAAGUCAGUCUCAGCAUGUAGGACAAAGACAUUUCUAAUCGUAGAGCAAAGGAAAUGAGGAAUUUAUGACAAAGCUCAAAC
ensembl:lncRNA